UCCUGGCUCAGAUUGAACGCUAGCGGGAUGCCUUACACAUGCAAGUCGAACGGCAGCACGGACUUCGGUCUGGUGGCGAGUGGCGAACGGGUGAGUAAUGAUCGGAACGUGCCCAGUAGCGGGGGAUAACUACGCGAAAGCGUAGCUAAUACCGCAUACGCCCUACGGGGGAAAGCAGGGGAUCGCAAGACCUUGCACUAUUGGAGCGGCCGAUAUCGGAUUAGCUAGUUGGUGGGGUAACGGCUCACCAAGGCGACGAUCCGUAGCUGGUUUGAGAGGACGACCAGCCACACUGGGACUGAGACACGGCCCAGACUCCUACGGGAGGCAGCAGUGGGGAAUUUUGGACAAUGGGGGAAACCCUGAUCCAGCCAUCCCGCGUGUGCGAUGAAGGCCUUC
rnacentral:rRNA from 1 species